GUACUGAAUGAAAGGAGAGAAGAUUUGCCUUCCCCUUGACAAGAGGCCAUAGGGCCUGAUAACAUACAUAGGGUUACAGCAUUGCCACCUACUUUGUGGCAUCUAACCACCAUUUUUU
ensembl:snRNA